CCGGCUGAGUCAGCAGCGGCAACCCGCUAGGGUCCCUUUCCAUGUUGUGGAAGCUUUUUUCUUUCGCUCUUCACAAUAAAUCUUGUUGCUGCCCACUCUUUGGGUCCAUGCCAGCUUUUAUGAGCUGUAACACUCACCUCGAAGGUCUGCAGCUUCACUCCUGAAGUCAGCCAACCACAAACCCGCCAGAAGGAAGAAACUCCAGACACGUCCGAACAUGGGAAGGAACAAACUCUAGACACACCAUCUUUAAGAACUGUAACACUCACCACCAGGGUCCGCGGCUUCAUUCUUGAAGUCAGCGAGACCAAGAACCCACCAAUUCCGGACGCAAGCUGGUUAUUUUGAGAAACUCCAGACACAGGAGUAGCUCUGAAAACAAGGAUGAAGGUUGCCCUUUGGUAAGGGAAAUUUACAUCUAUGAAGAAAAUAUCUGGGGGGUGUCUCCUCUGCACCGGGAAGAGAGGGAUGACUAAACCACUAGAGGCUCUUAACGGAGAAAGGCUGUGAAGCUGAGAGCUGGAUAUAUAUAAAGUUUAGAGCUGCUGUAACCCUCUUGCAAUCUCAGAGGAGCUCCUGGAAUUGCAAGAUAGACUGCAUGGAGCCUGAAGAUGAAGCCCUCAUAGCAAGAGGCGGAGUGAAGAGACAGAGAAAUGGAGUCAUUAAGGACAUUGGUUAAGUCCUUGUUUUCAGUAGUGCCUGUAAUCAGCCAUUCUGGUGGAUUUUUCAGUUACUUGACUUUAAUAAUAAACAGUUGCGCUGUAAUCAUAAAUACCUCCUAAAUGCUCACGUGCUUACAACAACAAAAAUUAUCUCUUGCUGAUGCUACAUGGGCUACCUGCAGCGCUGCUUUAUUGUUGUUUUUAAUCUGGGACUCAGUAAAAUAGAGCAGUCUCUCUCUAGAAAAUCACCUGUUGUAACGGAGGAAAAGAAAAGUAGGAAAAGAAGUGCUCGCUCUAAACUAUCUGCCUGAAGUUGCUUGCUUCCCACUUGCAUAUAAUUGGCCAGAACAAAUCACAUGGUCAAGAUUGAUGUCACAGGGUGGAGAGGGGCAGCAAAGUUUUUUGAAAAAUAAUAAUGCAAUCUACAAGUAAAUUUCCCU
rnacentral:lncRNA from 1 species